AAAUUGAAGAGUUUGAUCAUGGCUCAGAUUGAACGCUGGCGGCAGGCCUAACACAUGCAAGUCGAACGGUAGCACAGAGGAGCUUGCUCCUUGGGUGACGAGUGGCGGACGGGUGAGUAAUGU
rnacentral:rRNA from 1 species